GACCCUGCAAAGACGAGACCACAACCAGCCGGGUUAGAGGACGCAGUGCCCGGGGGUGGGGCGGCGGGGUGGAGUCGUCCCCGCCCGGGAUCCUCUGACCCGGCCUGCGGAAAGCCUGGGGAAUCGGUAGCAAGUUCUAGACUCUUUCUCUGUGUGGUCCUGGGCAAGUGCCUGCUCCCAACCGGGUCCUUUUCCUAUCUGUAACACGACUGAGGUCGUAGAAGCCAAGAUCUGAAGUUUUUGCGGUUCGGUUUGAGGAUUUUGGAUUCAGAGUGGCUAUGCUCCAUCCCUUCGUUUAAUAGAUGGAGAGAAUCUGACUCGGAACGGGGCCACUGAGGCCCAGAAGAAAGAAGGCCCUUGUUCCAAGCCACACCCUGGGGACUAGAACCCAGAUCAUCUGCGCCUACUCUCCUCUGUCUGCCCCCACGCCAUCCCUGGGCCUUGGAGCGGGGUCCCCGCACUCACGCAAGCCAUGAUUGAGGACAGGAGGAUGUUCCUGCGGACUGCGGCACCAGUGGUCUCAAGACGCUAGGAGAGAGAUGGGCCCCCGGGCCCGCUCCCACCCUUUUAACUGGACCAGACUCCGGUGAGUCCCGCCCCCCUGGGCGCCCAACCAAUUGCAAGUCAGGACAGAGAAGGGGGCCCCACUGGAGGCGGAGUCAACGGAAUUUUGAAGCCCUUCGGGAGCAGAGGUGACCAAUCGGAGCGGUAAACCCCCUUCUUCUUUAACCACUCCCCCGGGGUCCAGGCUCCACCUCCCAUUCUCCUUCAUCCCUCCCCACCCCCCACCCAAAAAAUUGUGCUGUGGCAGGGAUUGGGGGAAGCCAAUGGAAAAUAGUUUGAGGAUGAGUUAGGCACGAGAGUUGGCGGGAAGGGGGCCUAGGGCCAGCAGGCCGAGCUCUGGGGGUAGCCAGAGAAGAUGGCUGAGGGGAUACAGGGUCCUUCAGGGAAUUAGAAUUGGGGUUCUUGAGGCUGCCCUGGCAGGGACCAGGGCGUGGCCGCACUGCAAGGCCUCUGCAGAGAGCCCAGGACCAUUAACCACAAGGCCCUGGCCCCACCCGGGCCUCCCCCGGAAGCAGGGAUUGUGGCUGCUGUUAAGGCUUCUCGCUAGCGCUGAAGAAAGGCUGGGCCGGGUGCCAGGCCUGACGCUGCUGCCUCCGGGGCUCAGGCCUCAGGCCUCAGGCCUCAGGCCUCCUGAGGGGCCUGCUGGGGAUCUUCCAAAAGCCCCUGCCUGACAGCCUCCGGCUUGAGAGUCAGGCCUGGGAGGCGGCCCGGGAUGGGCCGAGCCGUGAAGGGUUGGGGUCCCCCCUCUGAACAUCCCCCCCUGCUGCUUGCUUCCCAUCUUUCUCUCCAAGGCUAGGCACUGCCUUUUCUUUCUCUAGUCAUUUAGCAGACAUUUUACUGAGCAUCUACUAUACGCUGGCCUGUGAGGAGUCAAAGGUGAACUCCAUCCAGCCCCUGCUUUCAGGUAGCACACUGCUGGGGCCGGACCUGGCCAGGAACCUGAGUAAGUAGCAUGUUGCUGGCUCUAAGGGAAGUCAUGAACAAGCACCGUGGUGCCGAGGAGAGUGUCCAGAGUGUGAAGAAGGUGGGUUUUGAAGGACGGAUGAAGAAGGAGGGCCUGGCUUUCCAGCGUGAGCAAAGGCGCAGACCGGAACAGUGACCAUCUGGGCAUGGCUGGAGUUUGGGGUAUGUUGGGGAAAGAUGGGGCAUGGGGCCGGGAGGCCAACAGUACGUGGAUCAUGAAGGGCCUCUUUAAGGGGCUUGGCCAUUGUUUUAACUGAGGGUGCUGGGGAGCCACAGAAGGUUAUAGGGAAGGUGAGUAUUGAGGACAGACACAAGUUACAGGGAAGAUCGCUGCAGCAAGAGUUGAGGGUGGAUUGGAGGGGUGCUCGCCUCAUACCCAGGAGCCAGGAGGAGAGAGGGGGAUGGGGAGCACUAGGCAAGGUGGGGCACUUACUCGGAGGGCUGUCAUUGGGACCUCCUUCUCCGCAUUGCCAUCUCCCUUCUGAAAUUGCCAGCACCGAAGAUGUGGACCAGGAGGGACACACAUCUGGAGGCCAGGCCCUCCGCUGCCCCCCCCUCCACCCCACCUUCCUCCGGAUGACUGAAGCCCACCCCUGGCACAGGAGGAGUGGGAAGAGGGGGGGCUCGUUGGGCCUCGACACAGGCCGCCCCCUGUCUGAGCCCAUCACCCCUCGGAGACCAAGCCUCCGAAACCAACCACAGCUGCUUCAGUUUUUCCUCCAGGGCCUCUCCUAAACCUCAACGCAGGGAGGGGGUGGGCGGAGCCAGCUCCGAGGCCUUUCCUGUGUGCUUCCCCUCCAAGGGCCACGGACACCGGACACAGCCUGAUCAAGCAAUAGGGGCAUUUGAGGAGUCCCGGACCGAGGAGCAGAGGUGGUUCCGGCACAGUCCUUUCCUGGCUGCAUCGCGUGGGUCUGGGCUGGCUGUCCCAGCCCAGCAGGUGGGCUCCCAGGGCAUCAAGAGCUGCUUCCCCCCUGCUUCCCCCAACUUGGAAGACAAGCCCAGCACCACGAAGCGUUUGCUGUUGGACGAGGGGCUGCUUUAUUCUCCAGGGUCUGGCCAGCUGAGGGCUGGUAGAGAAUCGGCAUGGCGUGGGGAACGGGCCUCCGGAAAGGCCCCUCUGGGAGUCCAGAGAGUUGGAAUCCGGUCCCAGCCCUGCCACGCCGUCCCCCAGGGCAUCCUGGCAAAUCAGUCUGCCCAUCUGUAAACUGGGGAGGUGAAACCCUGCUCUCCUACACAAGGUUACUACGGGGUGGAAUUCAUGUCUGUUUCACUAAAUAGGUGAUUCCCCCCCCCCCCCCCGCCCCCACAAUCUCUGAAGGUUUUAGCUUCCCUCUUGUCUCUUUCUAGGCUGAGCUUACCUUUCUGGGGUCAACACCUCUGGGAAGUCUCCCUCUUACCCCCACCUUACCCCCAACAGUCCCUGCCUGCCUAUGCUGGAGCAGGGAGUCCCUCCAGAUUCCAGUGUCCCCUGUAACACGGGUCAUGGUUUUCCCGGGUGGGGGCAGGGACCAGGUGCACUGUGUGUGCCGAGCUCCCGCCCAGUCCUCGGGGCCUCCUAGCGAUGGCACCCGCUUAUCUGCCGGGCCCUGUGCCCGGCGCCUUGCUUUCAUAUAUUAUCUCAUUUCAUCUACACCUCCCCCCUGCCUGAUGCUUGCCAGCUGGGAUGUACCGCACAGGGAAGCCGCUCCGGGCCCCGAAAUGAACGAAGCCGGUGUCAGAAUCGGGAGAAGGGAGGCGAGUCCUAAUUUGGGGGCUGCCUGGCUGUGACUGCGGCCAAGGACCUUACCCUCGCCGAACCUGUUUCCAGGCCUGGAAAGUGGGAACGUUACCAUUCACUGACUGGCUGCAGGAUUACAGAGGCAGCUCUAUAGGCUGGACCUUGGCCCCUGCUGUUAGAAAUGAGCUCAGCACCUCUGGACGGGGGACCCAGGCCAGCGCGGCCCUUCCCAGCCUGCCGACUCCUGCCCUGUCCUGCCCGCUCCUGCCCUGCCCAUGUGAAGCCAGUCCCUCCUCCAGCCGGCAGUGGCAGGGAGGGCUGCCAGACGCAUUGAAACACCAUCCACACCCCUCAGCCAACCUGACUGGCCCAGCCGGGGAUGGUGGAGGUGACCAGAGCAGGCUCCGAAGUCCUAGAAGUCAGAGCAGGAAACGACCCCAGAGAUUCUGCACCUGAUCUGCUCCCUCAUUUAAGGAUGGAGCAGAAGCCACCCAAAGAGACCGGCUACUUGGCCAAGGUCACACAGGGAGCUAGGGCUGAAGUGACUUCCGUCUAUGGAGCCAAGGAAACAACGUGAUCCCGGGAUACCUGGACCUCAAAAAGUGAUCUUUUCCGGGGCGCCUGGGUGGCUCAGUCGGUUAAGCGACCGACUUCGGCUCAGGUCAUGAUCUUGCGGGUUUGUGGGUUUGAGCCCCGCGUCGGGCUCUGUGCUGAUGGCUCAGAGCCCGGAGCCUGCUUCGGGUUCCGUGUCUCCUUCGCUCUCAGCCCCUCCCCCACUUGUGCUCGGACUCUCUCUCUCAAAACUAAAUAAGUGUAAAAAACCA